GACGAACCGUACGAACGUUAUUCGGAAUUACUGGGCUUAAAGGGUGCGUAGGCUGCGCGGAAAGUUGGGUGUGAAAUCCCUCGGCUCAACCGAGGAACUGCGCUCAAAACUACCGUGCUCAGGGAGACAGAGGUGAGCGGAACUUAGGGUGGAGCGGUGAAAUGCGUUGAUAUCCUAAGGAACACCCGUGGCGAAAGCGGCUCACUGGGUCUCUUCUGACGCUGAGGCACGAAAGCUAGGGUAGCGAAACGGG
rnacentral:rRNA from 1 species